rnacentral:rRNA from 1 species
CGGCGAGUGAAGCGGGAUGAGCUCAAGCUUAAAAUCUCCAUGUAAAUUUUGCAUGGCGAAUUGUAGUCUAUAGAAGCGUGAUUAGCGUAGGCACUUGGGGUAAGUUCCUUGGAAGAGGACAGCAUCGAGGGUGAUACUCCCGUUUUUCCCCGAGUUGCUUAUGCGUACAAUCCGUUUUCUUUGAGUCGCGUUGUUUGAGAAUGCAGCGCAAAGUAGGUGGUAAAUUCCAUCUAAAGCUAAAUAUUGGUGCGAGACCGAUAGCAUACAAGUACCGUGAGGGAAAGAUGAAAAGAACUUUGAAAAGAGAGUUAAAGAGUACCUGAAACUGCUGAAAGGGAACCAAAUCGUUUCCAGUGUUCAUAAUCCUUGGUAUAUUUCAUUGGCGAAUGUGUGCGUGCGUGUACUAUGGCAGCGGCUUUUUGCUGCGCCUUGUGUGUGUGUUGCAUUUUCUUGCCGAUGCUCUGUACCGUGGUGGGACGUCAUUGUCGGUUCGUAAACUGCGGGAAAUGACUGCCGAGGAGGUAGGGCGAACGCUUGCGUUUGUCUGUUAUAUCUUGGCGGACGUAGUAGUCGCGGUUGGGACUGAGGUGCCUACAAUGUGCUAAUGAGUGGGAUCGAUUCUCCUUUUGCGCUGUGUGCGAAUAGCUUGCUAUGCGCGUGUGGCUGCGUGUGGAUUGA